UCAGGAUGAACGCUAGCGGCAGGCCUAACACAUGCAAGUCGAGGGGCAGCGGGGAUAAGCUUGCUUAUCCGCCGGCGACCGGSGCACGGGUGCGCAACGCGUAUAGAAUCUGCCCUGUACUGGGGAAUAGCCCAGAGAAAUUUGGAUUAAUGCCCCAUGGUAUGUAUUAGCGGCAUCGCUUAUACAUUAAAGGCUACGGUACAGGAUGACUAUGCGUCCCAUUAGUUAGUUGGUAAGGUAACGGCUUACCAAGGCAGCGAUGGGUAGGGGCCCUGANNNNGGGAUCCCCCACACUGGUACUGAGACACGGACCAGACUCUACGGGAGGCAGCAGUGAGGAAUAUUGGACAAUGGGCGGGAGCCUGAUCCAGCCAUGCCGCGUGCAGGAAGACGGUCCUAUGGAUUGUAAACUGCUUUUGUACGGGAAGAACAAGGGGCACGUGUGCCCYUCUGACGGUACCGUAAGAAUAAGGAUCGGCUAACUCCGUGCCAGCAGCCGCGGUAAUACGGAGGAUCCGAGCGUUAUCCGGAAUCAUUGGGUUUAAAGGGUCCGUAGGCGGGCCAUUAAGUCAGGGGUGAAAGUCUGCGGCUCAACCGUAGAAUUGCCCUUGAUACUGGUGGUCUUGAGUUAUGGUGAAGUAACUAGAAUAUGUAGUGUAGCGGUGAAAUGCAUAGAUAUUACAUAGAAUACCGAUUGCGAAGGCAGGUUACUAACCAUAUACUGACGCUGAUGGACGAAAGCGUGGGGAGCGAACAGGAUUAGAUACCCUGGUAGUCCACGCCGUAAACGAUGGAUACUAGCUGUCCGGAUGCAAAUCUGGGCGMCCAAGCGAAAGUGAUAAGUAUCCC
rnacentral:rRNA from 1 species